ACAGUCAAGAAAAUCAAGGGCAAUGGUGAUAUAUAUGCGGAUUAUACACCAAAAAAAAAACACUCAACAAAUGGAUACAAUUAAAGGAAUGUGUUUAGUGACGGCAUCAGAUUCCUAAUUGAUGGAGAAAUGUUUGGUGGCAAGAAAAGCUGCUGACGGUAUCUGGGGAAUAAGCAUCGGCUAACUCUGUGCCAGCAGCCGCGGUAAUACAGAGGAUGCAAGCGUUAUCCGGGUAAAGCGUCUGUAGGUGGCUUUUUAAGUCCGCCGUCAAAUCCCAGGGCUCAACUCUAGACAGGCGGUGGAAACUACCAAGCUGGAGUACAGUAGGGGCAGAGGGAAUUUCCGGUGGAGCGAUGAAAGAGAGAAACAAAGAAUAUUACUACUGUGUAAACGAAAAGUUUGAGAGUAAGCAUUACACAACCUCCAAGAUCAUCCCUACCUAUUACUGCUCCUUUGAGUAGUAACGAGGGGUUUUUUGAGAUCAACUCACAU
rnacentral:ncRNA from 1 species